rnacentral:rRNA from 1 species
AUACGUAGGGAGCUAGCGUUGUCCGGAAUUACUGGGCGUAAAGCGCGCGUAGGCGGCCAUAUAAGUCACGUGUGAAAUCGCUUGGCUCAACCAGGCAAUUGCGCUUGAUACUGUAUGGCUUGAGUACGGAAGAGGAAAGUGGAAUUCCCAGUGUAGAGGUGAAAUUCGUAGAUAUUGGGAAGAACACCGGUGGCGAAGGCGGCUCUCUGGUCCGGUACUGACGCUGAGGCGCGAAAGCGUGGGGAGCAAACAGGAUUAGAAACCCCAGUAGUCC